rnacentral:lncRNA from 1 species
AAGAAUACAAUGAACAGAUAUGGUUCGUGACAGCAGUGAGGCAACUUGCAAAUUAUCAGAACCCCACAAAACAAGAAAACAGACUAAUUGCCAUUACCACACUUCAUAAACAGAACCAGAAAAUCCAUACAUAAAAAGUAACUACAUGAAAUAACAGAUACAUAAAAUAAUGGGUUUAGAGAGAGGAAGAGAGUACCUUCAGUGCUUUGAAGAAUUCAAAAGGUGGGGACUGAUUAUAAGCUUAAAAACUAGUACAUAAUUCCUCUGUAACUCAACGUUCAUCUGAUCCAACGGCAUUAUAUUUUGUAAUCUGGCCUC